rnacentral:rRNA from 1 species
AUACGUAGGGAGCGAGCGUUGUCCGGAAUUACUGGGUGUAAAGGGCGCGUAGGCGGGGGUGCAAGUCAGAUGUGAAAUCUAUGGCUUAACUCAUAAACUGCAUUUGAAACUGUAUCUCUUGAGUGCUGGAGAGGUAGACGGAAUUCCUUGUGUAGCGGUGAAAUGCGUAGAUAUAAGGAAGAACACCAGUGGCGAAGGCGGUCUACUGGACAGUAACUGACGCUGAGGCGCGAAAGCGUGGGGAGCAAACAGGAUUAGAUACCCUGGUAGUCCACGCUGUAAACGAUGAAUACUAGGUGUGGGGGGACUGACCCCCUCCGUGCCGCAGUUAACACAAUAAGUAUUCCACCUGGGGAGUACGGCCGCAAGGUUGAAACUCAAAUGAAUUGGCGGGG